rnacentral:rRNA from 1 species
AAAUUCAGUGAUCCUAUGCUGCCGAGAAAAGCCUCUAGUGAGUUCAUACACGGCCCGUACCCCAAACCGACGCAGGUGAUCAGGUAGAGAAUACCAAGGCGAUCGAGAGAACUGUGGUCAAGGAACUCGGCAAAAUGCCCCCGUAACUUCGGGAGAAGGGGGACCAUGCCCGGUGAACAUCUUCACGGUGGGAGCUGGGUGUGGUCGCAGAGACCAGAGAGAAGCGACUGUUUACUAAAAACACAGGUCCGUGCGAAGACGUAAGUCGAUGUAUACGGACUGACGCCUGCCCGGUGCUGGAAGGUUAAGAGGACCGGUUAGCCGUAAGGCGAAGCUGAGAAUUUAAGCCCCAGUAAACGGCGGUGGUAACUAUAACCAUCCUAAGGUAGCGAAAUUCCUUGUCGGGUAAGUUCCGACCUGCACGAAUGGCGUAACGACUUCUCUGCUGUCUCGACCACAGACUCGGCGAAAUUGCACUACGAGUAAAGAUGCUCGUUACGCGCGGCAGGACGAAAAGACCCCGGGACCUUUACUAUAGCUUGGUAUUGGCGUUCGAUUCGGUUUGUGUAGGAUAGGUGGGAGACUGUGAAGCAUGCACGCCAGUGUGUGUGGAGUCGUUGUUGAAAUACCACUCUGAUCGUAUUGGACGUCUAACCUCGGCCCAUGAUCUGGGUUAGGGACAGUGCCUGGUGGGUAGUUUAACUGGGGCGGUUGCCUCCUAAAGAGUAACGGAGGCGCCCAAAGGUUCCCUCAGCCUGGAUGGCAAUCAGGUGUUGAGUGCAAGUGCACAAGGGAGCUUGACUGUGAGACUGACACGUCGAGCAGGGACGAAAGUCGGGACUAGUGAUCCGGCACCGGCAAGUGGAAGCGGUGUCGCUCAACGGAUAAAAGGUACCCCGGGGAUAACAGGCUGAUCUUCCCCAAGAGUCCAUAUCGACGGGAUGGUUUGGCACCUCGAUGUCGGCUCGUCGCAUCCUGGGGCUGGAGUAGGUCCCAAGGGUUGGGCUGUUCGCCCAUUAAAGCGGCACGCGAGCUGGGUUUAGAACGUCGUGAGACAGUUCGGUCUCUAUCCGCCGCGCGCGUAAGAAACUUGAGGAAGGCUGUCCCUAGUACGAGAGGACCGGGACGGACGAACCUCUGGUGUGCCAGUUGUUCACCAGGAGCAUGGCUGGUUAGCUACGUUCGGAAGGGAUAACCGCUGAAAGCAUCUAAGCGGGAAGCCUGUUCCAAGAUGAGGUUUCUCACCACCUUGCGUGGUUAAGGCCCCCUACAGACCAUGGGGUUGAUAGGCCGGAACUGGAAGCGCAGCAAUGCGUGGAGGUGACCGGUACUAAUAGGCCGAGGGCUUACUA